GGAAAUUCUCUCUCUCCUUCACUCCAAACUUUCGACCACCACCUCUCUCUCCUCUCUCUCACAUUUCCACCAUUGACAACCAUUAACGAGACCUUGGGAGCUUCACAAAAUCACACCAAAAUCACAAAUCACCCUCUAAAUCUUACACUAAACACUUCCACCUCCUUGAAUUCAAGAAGAUCUUUGGAGUUUGAUCUUCAAAGUUAGAGAGAGAAAGUUUGAUAUUUGGUGUAAGUUUGGGCCCGAGAGAGACAAAGAAGUAAGUCACCUGUUUUCUUUCAAAGUUGAGCGAAGGACUUCAGGCUAAGCAAGGAGCGAGAAUGGUCUGGUGCUGGUGGGGAUUCGUUUAGCAGAUGUAUUUACUUUAUCGUAUUUCCUUUUUGUCGAUAAAGUCUUGAUGAAUGAGAUACUUUGUUUUCUUUUGAAUCAAGCAAUGUACUCGCGGUUAUAUGUCUUCAUACAUAUAAUCGACUCGUCUUUUGCUGCGAUACUCUGAAUAUUAUGAUUCCUUAUGAAAAAUGAGCUAUAGCCGUUUUGUUUU